rnacentral:rRNA from 1 species
AUUGAACGCUGGCGGGAGGCCUUACACAUGCAAGUCGAGCGGAGCGGCGGACGGGUGAGGAAGGCUUAGGAAUCUGCCUGGUAGUGGGGGAUAAGGUCCGGAGACGGGCGGUAAAACCGACUCAUAUCAGAUGAGCCUAGGUCGGAUUAGCUAGUUGGGGGGGUAAAGGCCUACCAAGGCGACGAUCCGUAACUGGUCUGAGAGGACGAUCAGUCACACUGGAACUGAGACCGGUCCCAGACGCCUCAGGGAUGCAGCCGUUGGGAAUUUUGGACAAUGGGCGAAAGCCUUAUCCAGCCAUGCCGCGUGUGUGAAGAAGGUCUUCGGUUUGUAAAGCACUUUAAGUUGUGAGGCGUUACCUACAGAAUAAGCACCUGCUAACUUCGUGCCAGCAGCCGCGGUAAUAC